rnacentral:rRNA from 1 species
CCUACGGGAGGCAGCAGUGAGGAAUAUUGGUCAAUGGACGAGAGUCUGACCCAGCCAAGUAGCGUGAAGGAUGACUGCCCUCUGGGUUGUAAACUUCUUUUAUAAAGGAAUAAAACGAGGCACGUGUGCCUUUUUGCAUGUACUUUAUGAAUAAGGAUCGGCUAACUCCGUGCCAGCAGCCGCGGUAAUACGGAGGAGCCGAGCGUUAUCCGGAUUUAUUGGGUUUAAAGGGAGCGUAGAUGGGUUGUUAAGUCAGUUGUGAAAGUUUGCGGCUCAACCGUAAAAUUGCAAUUGAUACUGGCAGUCUUGAGUACAGUUGAGGUAGGCGGAAUUCGUGGUGUAGCGGUGAAAUGCUUAGAUAUCACGAAGAACCCCGAUUGCGAAGGCAGCUUACUAACCUGUGACUGACAUUGAUGCGCGAAAGUGUGGGUAUCAAACAGGAUUAGAUACCCGGGUAGUC